rnacentral:rRNA from 1 species
GGAAGUAAAAGUCGUAACAAGGUUUCCGUAGGUGAACCUGCGGAAGGAUCAUUAACGAACUCUCGAAGGGGGCGGUUGCUGCUGGGCUUCUCGCAAGUCAACGUGCACACGCUCUUUCUUCUCGUUCAAGCCAUCUACCCCUAUCUGUGCACCCCUCGUAGGCUGAGAUCUCUCAGCUUAUGUUUCAAUCCACAUAGCAUCGCAUCCGUAKAAAUGAAUGACAGUCGUCUGAGCCCUGUCUCGACGCAACAGUAACACACAACUUUCAACAACGGAUCUCUUGGCUCUCGCAUCGAUGAAGAACGCAGCGAAAUGCGAUAAGUAAUGUGAAUUGCAGAAUUCAGUGAAUCAUCGAAUCUUUGAACGCACCUUGCGCCCCUUGGUACUCCGGGGGGCAUGCCUGUUUGAGUGUUAUCAGCCCAUCAACCCGRRAGGCUUUCGAGCCCAUCGGUGCUUGGAGUUUGCGGYGUGCGGGAGGCUCUCGCGGGCCCUCCGCUCCUCGCGGAAUACAUCAGCGGAUGUCCACAUGCAGGACCGGCCUUGGCGUGAUAAAUAUCUGCGUCCUGGCUCGGGCCUCGAUCUAAUGGCACUGCUUCGAACGGUCGCCGCUUCGCCCGCGACAGCCCAUUGACAAAUUUGACCUCAAAUCAGGUAGGAUUACCCGCUGAACUUAAGCAUAUCAAUAAGCGGAGGA